UUGAUUUCAAGAUUUUAUAAGAAGAGCCAGUGGGCUCCCAGACAAAGUUAAAAAGAAAAUAUCCUUCUCAGAAACGUCAGUGUCCUUUACGUAUGCUGUCUGGUGUGCGAUUGAA